ACUUUUUUUUUCUUUUAAGGCAUAAAUGUACUAAACUUAUCUGACCUAUUCAUCACUCAAAGUCGGUUACCUAAUUUUUCAAAAUUUUUUACUUUGCGGUUCAACCAUUUAAUUUGUUUGAUUUGAAUCAGUCAAUGAUAGUUUGAUUUUAAAGUUUAUAGGCUAAUUACUUAUUUUACUGAAUUUACAGUGGUGAGAAUUGUACGAAACAUAAUAACUUCAAAUUUGAAGUUACAGUGUCGUUGACCGACUCAAAUCAAACAAAUUAAAAAGUUGGAUAGUAAAAUCAAAAUUUUAAGAAAAAUGGAUAGCUAAAUCAGAAUGAUCUGUAGUUCAAAUAAAUUUUGUAUGUUCUUACCUUAGUUUUAAGCUCUUUGUUUUUUAAAAGCUUUCGCACAUUCCAAUUUA
rnacentral:lncRNA from 1 species